rnacentral:rRNA from 1 species
AGUGAACGCUGGCGGUAGGCCUAACACAUGCAAGUCGAACGGCAGCACAGUAAGAGCUUGCUCUUACGGGUGGCGAGUGGCGGACGGGUGAGGAAUACAUCGGAAUCUACUUUUUCGUGGGGGAUAACGUAGGGAAACUUACGCUAAUACCGCAUACGACCUACGGGUGAAAGCAGGGGAGCUUCGGACCUUGCGCGAUUGAAUGAGCCGAUGUCGGAUUAGCUAGUUGGCGGGGUAAAGGCCCACCAAGGCGACGAUCCGUAGCUGGUCUGAGAGGAUGAUCGGCCACACUGGAACUGAGACACGGUCCAGACUCCUACGGGAGGCAGCAGUGGGGAAUAUUGGACAAUGGGCGCAAGCCUGAUCCAGCCAUACCGCGUGGGUGAAGAAGGCCUUCGGGUUGUAAAGCCCUUUUGUUGGGAAAGAAAAGCAGCAGGUUAAUACCCCGCUGUUCUGACGGUACCCAAAGAAUAAGCACCGGCUAACUUCGUG